UCAGCCUCUCCUGAUAACACUGCCAUUUAGGGAGCUGGUUAGCAAGAAUGUUACUAGCACUUACUCUGUGCCAGGGACAGUUACAGGCUCAUGUAGCUGCAAACACUAACUCACGUGACACAUUCCCCUAGGCACAGGAGCUUCACCAUGUUAGAGAUGGAGAGGGAGGAAACAAUAAAACUGAAGAAAGAACGAAAGCAUAAUGGUGCUGCAAGAUCCGCCAGGGCAGUGGUCUGCACUUCGUGGUGGAAAACAACUUUUGGCUCCCGGAAGGGUUCUCCCUGUCCCUGGCCUGACUCCCUGCCUUGAAGCCCUUGGUUUGGUUUCAGCAACAUUCUCCAGGCGGCUACCAAGCUGGGCCAGCCGGACACGCCUGCUGCUUAGUGAGACAGCAGGGAGAGGCCACAGACAAGCAGAGGAGUGGAAAACGUCCUUGCCGAGGCUCUGAUCAUCCCAGGCCGUCUCAGCGGACAUCAUUCCCAGUUUAAAACCUCAAGACCAGGCUCCGCUGGUGGCUCAGUGGUGAAGAAUCUGCCGAAGCAGGGAACACGGGUUCAAUCACUGGUCCAGGAAGAUCCUACAGGUCGUGGGAUAGCAGCUCACGCACCACAACUAUCAACCUUGUGCUCUAGAGCCCAGGAACAACAACUACUGAGUCCUCAAGCUGCAGCUACUGAAGCCCGUGAGCCCAUGAGCCCGUGAGCCCAUGAGCCUGUGCUCUGCGACCAGAGAAGCUGGUACAGUGAGAAGCUGGUACAGAGUAGCCCCCUGUAACUAGAGAAAAGCCCGUGCGGCAAGAAAGAGUCAGCGCAGUCAAAAAUAAACAGAUACUAAAACAAAAAAGCCUUAUGACUAUCUGAAAAGAAAUCAGUUAGACUUUGAUCUGAAACUAUUCAGAGUCACAUUGACAUUCAUUUUUUUUUAUUAAUUUGUUUUUUAACGUCAAAAACAUUUCGUAUUGGGGCAUAGCUGAUUAACAAUCUUGUGGCAGUUUCAGGUAAACAGUGAAGGGGCUCAGCCAUAUAUAUACUUGUAUCCAUUGGGAGGUUUCUACCAGGCUCAAGUCAAUCAGAGAGCUUUCCGAACGAGCUCUCCUGCCUGCCCGGUGGGCUCAGAGAUGACCGGUAGAUUAAGAAGUGACCAAGAGACAUUGCUUGUGCUUGGGCUUCGCUGGUGGCUCAGAUGGUAAAGAGUCUGCCUGCAGUGUGGGAGACCUGGGUUCGAUCCCUGGGCCAGGAAAAUCCCCUGGAGAAGGAAAUGGCAACCCAC